rnacentral:tRNA from 1 species
UGAGAAUGUAGCUCAAUUGGUAGAGUGCUUGCCUCACAUGCACAAAGUCUUGGGUUCAAUCCCCAGCACCACAA